GACGAACGCUGGCGGCGUGCUUAACACAUGCAAGUCGAACGAAGCUUGAUUACGGAUUCUUCGGAUGAAGUAUGAUAUGACUGAGUGGCGGACGGGUGAGUAACGCGUGAGUAACCUGCCCUUCAGAGGGGGAUAGCGUUUGGAAACGAACGGUAAUACCGCAUAAUGUAUUUUGACCGCAUGAUCGAAAUACCAAAGAUUUAUCGCUGAAGGAUGGACUCGCGUCUGAUUAGGUAGUUGGUGGGGUAACGGCCUACCAAGCCGACGAUCAGUAGCCGGACUGAGAGGUUGAUCGGCCACAUUGGGACUGAGACACGGCCCAGACUCCUACGGGAGGCAGCAGUGGGGAAUAUUGCACAAGGGGCGCAAGCCUGAUGCAGCAACGCCGCGUGAAGGAAGACGGUUUUCGGAUUGUAAACUUCUGUUCUUAGUGAAGAAUAAUGACGGUAGCUAAGGAGCAAGCCACGGCUAACUAUGUG
rnacentral:rRNA from 1 species